GUAGGUGGCAAGCGUUGUCCGGAAUUAUUGGGCGUAAAGCGCGCGCAGGCGGUUCUUUAAGUCUGAUGUGAAAGCCCACGGCUCAACCGUGGAGGGUCAUUGGAAACUGGAGAACUUGAGUACAGAAGAGGAAAGCGGAAUUCCACGUGUAGCGGUGAAAUGCGUAGAGAUGUGGAGGAACACCAGUGGCGAAGGCGGCUUUCUGGUCUGUAACUGACGCUGAGGCGCGAAAGCGUGGGGGAGCAAACAGGAUUAGAUACCCUGGUAGUCCACGCCGUAAACGAUGAGUGCUAAGUGUUAGGGGGUUUCCGCCCCUUAGUGCUGCAGCUAGCGCAUUAAGCACUCCCGCCUGGGGAGUACGGCCGCAAGGCUG
rnacentral:rRNA from 1 species